AUUGCCUCAGUAACGGCGAGUGAAGCGGCAAGAAGCUCAAAUUUGAAAUCUGACCCCCCCCAGCGGGGGCCCGAGUUGUAAUUUGCAGAGGAUGCUUUUGGCGAGGUGCCUUCCGAGUUCCCUGGAACGGGACGCCACAGAGGGUGAGAGCCCCGUCUGGUCGGACGCCGAGCCUCUGUAAAGCUCCUUCGACGAGUCGAGUAGUUUGGGAAUGCUGCUCUAAAUGGGAGGUAUAUGUCUUCUAAAGCUAAAUACCGGCCAGAGACCGAUAGCGCACAAGUAGAGUGAUCGAAAGAUGAAAAGCACCUUGAAAAGGGGGUUAAACAGUACGUGAAAUUGUUGAAAGGGAAGCGCUCGCGACCAGACUCGGGGCGUGCGGAUCAUCCGGCGUUCUCGCCGGUGCACUCCGCGCGCCCCGGGCCAGCAUCAGCUCGCGCUGGGGGAGAAAGGCGGCGGGAACGUGGCUCCCUAGGGAGUGUUAUAGCCCGCCGCGUAAUGCCCCGGGGCGGGCUGAGGCCUGCGCAUCUUGCAAGGAUGCUGGCGUAAUGGUCGCCAGCGACCCGUCUUGAAACACGGACCAAGGAGUCGUCUUCGUAUGCGAGUGUUCGGGUGUCAAACCCCUACGCGGAAUGAAAGUGAACGCUGGUGAGAGCUUCGGCGCAUCAUCGACCGAUCCUGAUGUUCUCGGAUGGAUUUGAGUAGGAGCAUACGGGGCCGGACCCGAAAGAAGGUGAACUAUGCCUGUGUAGGGUGAAGCCAGAGGAAACUCUGGUGGAGGCUCGCAGCGGUUCUGACGUGCAAAUCGAUCGUCAAACAUGGGCAUGGGGGCGAAAGACUAAU
rnacentral:rRNA from 1 species